rnacentral:rRNA from 1 species
GAUGAACGCUGGCGGCGUGCUUAAUACAUGCAAGUCGAACGGAAAGGCCCGGCGCUUGUGGCGUGCUCGAGUGGCGAACGGGGGAGUAAAACGCGUGUAACCUGUCCUUGACUUUGGGAUAACAUCUGGAAACUGGGGCUAAUACCCGAUAUGAGCUUCUGCUCCACGGGGGUGGAUGGAAAGAUUCGGCGGUUGUGGAUGGACUCGCGGCUUCUCCGCUUCUUUGUGGGGUUGGGGCUUACCAAGGCUUUGACGGGUAGCCGGCCUGAGAGGGUGACCGGCCACAUUGGGACUGAGAUACGGCCCAGACUCCUACGGGAGGCAGCAGUGGGGAAUAUUGCACAAUGGGCGGAAGCCUGAUGCAGCAACGCCGCGUGCGGGAUGACGGCCUUCGGGUUGUAAACCGCUUUCGCCUGUGACGAAGCGUGAGUGACGGUAAUGGGUAAAGAAGCACCGGCUAACUACGUG